AAAACUAUAAAGUAUAUAAAUAACACUUGUACAAUGUCAAUGUAAAAGUCAAUUACUUAACUGAGGAAACAUGUCUUUAUAAAAUCACACUUAAUAUUUUUCUCACACAGUAGAAAUGUAAUUGUACGUGUGUGUGUGUGUGUGUGUGUGUGUGUGUGUGUGUGUGUGUGUGUGUGUGUGUGUGUGUGUGUGUGUGUGUGUGUGUGUGUGUGUGUGUGUGUGUGUGUGUGUGUGUGUGUGUGUAAAUAUUUAUUUAUUUAUUUAUUUAUUUAUUUAUUUUGAAAGCGAGUCCCUCAAAAGGGGAUCAUCAUAUUUGUUCUCAUUGCUUACAUUGCAGGUGUUCUAAUUUUUAUGUGUCUACAAUCUCAAAGCAGUUUCAACCAUAAUCCAAAAAAAUAAAUGGUGCUGUUCAUAUCCUGUGGUAGAUGCUACAGAAAACUUCCCAUUAUCCUCAGUGUUCAGAACUGUGAACACUUUCUGGUGACAUACAGUAUGUUCACUGUCACAUCCUGAACACUUGGGUCAGCUGCCUCUCUACUCUUCUCAUCACAAACUCUGACAGCCUAACAAAGCAGUCAUUAGACAGCCUCUCAGACAUGACUAGCACACCCCCUUUGCUUCAGGGAAAACUAGCAUAAUAGAAUAAGAAGCAGAGUGGAGUUAGCAUUCGCCCCAAAACAAACACACACAAAACAAAGCCUCAUCUUUUUUAGAUUUUCUUUCCUUCGUUCACUCCCCUGGUUCUUGGUCUCCAUAUUUAUAAUUUAGCAUUAUGACAUUUUAUUUUGUGCAGCUUGAAAAUGACAAUGUCAGUGGUAUAAAUAUGGAAAACCACUCCUGUGAGAAAAGCCUUUAUAUUUUAGUAGGUUAAAACUAAUACAAACAAAACUGGAAUUAUUAAUUAUAAAAAAGGAGAGCGAGAGAGAAAGGCCAAAUCCCCACAUUUCAAUAUAAUUUGCAUUUAGAUUUUGAGUCGGAUUUUCAGCAACUUGACUGUUUUCCCCCUUCUUGCGUUCUCUCAAAUAUCUUGCAGGAUCAAAGGCUUUCAUUAGGUUUAACUCCUCCAAGCAUUGUUUGCCUCCCAGGACUACAACAAAGUUCCCUCAGUGUGCCUGAUUCAGAAGAAUAAAGAAUUAGUUAUUCCUGGACUAAUCUGACAUCAAACAGUGGAGAGGAAGAUAAAAGUGACAAUGGUGAGCGGGGAAGAUUGGCCAUAUGUUUCCACAGGCACCCAGAGCAGUCAAGCUCACACUCUCACAUCUAGAAAAAAAUACCUUUUAGAUGAAGAUAAUGGCUAAUAAUAAUAAUAAUAAUAAUAAUAAUAAUAAUAAUAAUAAUAAUAAUAAACUAUUAUUACUAUUAUUAUUAUUAUGUUGUUGUUGUUGUUGUUUUCCUGGACAUGUGUAAUAUCUUAAUUCAUUACUCUACAGAGUUUUCAAGGAUUUAAUAUUAAUUGAUACUACUACUACAGCUAAUCAUCAUCAUCUUAGCAUUUAACAGUCAUAUUUUCAGUCAAAGAAAUACCUCACGUAUUACAAUUUAUUUCCGUCUUUUUUAAUAUUAAAUUCCCGCCAACUCCCAGAGAGUAAUAAAUUAAGAUAUCUUAUAUGUCCAGGAUAUACUGUGGAUAUCUCUGUGGAAUCGCAUCUUUAUUACAGUUGGCUGGAUGAAAUCUUCAUUCAGCUCCCCUUAUUCACUUAGCUGCCAUUUUUAUAGUCCUUUAAAAUAAUUAUAUCCUAGAAUUACAGGUUUUAAUCUAAGGCAUAUGCAGUUGCUCAUUGAAAUAAGUUGUCGUAAUAUGAUCUGUCUGCUUUGAAUAACUUGGUUUAUGCGCUUGAUCUUGCUGAUGAGUGUGUGUGAGUGUCUAUAGUAAGGCCACAGCUAAAGGAAGUUGAGCACAUGUUCACAGAGGUGUUCUGAGGACAGUUUUUAGGACCCAGGUCUCCUUUAAAUUCACCACAGCCUUUACCUACUUCUGAGCUAUACACAAAAAAAACUCAUACCGUGGUGUGCACACAUACACACGCAGACACUCAUGAGCACAGGUCAAACCUUGCCUCAACUACAGUCAAUCAUUACAUUUCUGUAAAGAAUAGCAUUUAAUUUCAAUCUGACUCUGAGAAGUGAAGUGUGCAGAUUAUUAUUUUCUAUAGCUUGCAAAAUGAUAGAUCAUGUAGAAAAAGCUGAAUGAGUUCAAAUGAGCAGUCAGAAAAAUAAUUACCUGAAUUCUCAUAGUGUAAUUUUCUGUAAUCAUCAAUAAUACAAGAUCUCAAGAGCCCUAUUGCUAGGAUAGACUAAAUAAUUGUGAUUUGAUUCAAUGUCACUUCCUGUAGAUAUAGAUCUUUAUCUUUAAGUGCUGAGUACCUGACAAAAAAACCUACAGAUUAAUUUGCAUAAUGAAGUUUGACAGGAAAAUGAUUUAAUUACAGAAUUUUUGAACUGCUUCCCUCAAUCUUCCUCACUCUCAUUCAUAAUCAGAUUUAGAGACACACACAUACACAAACAAUUAACAGAUGGUAUCACAGACAAAACUGUAAAUGUACUCCUGUUAACGUCUACCAGCCUUUCUGCUGUUCUAAAGCUGCCACUGUAAAUUUAUAUUUUUCCCAUGUCAUUUUUUAUGCUGGAUUAGUUUGUAUGCAGGAUCGAAAAUUAACUGUCAAAUGCUAGAAAAUUGGCUUGGAUAAGUAAAUAAACAUACUGUAGGCACUGCAACAUUACAUAGUUUAAACUGAACUGUGACAAUGAUAGUCUAAGCCUUGCUGUUUUAAGUUUCAAAUCAAAAUACUUUUUAAACCAUUUUAGAAGACACGUUAUCAUGAGAUAGUUUUUUUUUUUUUUUUUUGCUUGUUUGUUUGUUUGAUUUUAAGCAAAAAUUUUAUUUUAAUUUUUUUUGUUUCAAUUGGCAGGUGUGGCCAAAACCAAAUUUUUAACCCCGUGUGUAUAUUUUGUGGCACAAAGAGCGUAGGAUGGUAGGAAAGCUCUAAGAUGGAGAUCAGAAGAAUUGGGUUAGAAAAAUAUAGUGAGGAGGAAGUGGGGUGAGUGGAGGUGUGGAGGGGUGUAGAGGGGAGGGCACGGGGGCAAAGCAGUCAUCAGAUGAGGAAGAUGACGGGCCGCAUCCCCACGAGCUGCCAGAUGGCACAGGAUCAAAACCUCCAGAGGGGAGUAACAAACACAAAUAUUUGUUCGCAUGCUGCUCUGAAACACACACGCAUGCAGAAGGAACACGUGUGCGCAGGCACAGACAAAAGCCACAUUUCCCUUGUGUCUCACAACCAAGCCAUCUAUCUGUCUACCACAGUAUUUAUAUUCCUCUGUAGUAGACAAAACCCGGGUUAUGUUUAUCAAUCUUACAUAUUUCUCUCUCCACCUGUAUACAAAUUCUUUACGAUGUUUAGUACCCACCGACCCACCCACCCUUAAUUCUUAUGCAUAUUCACUUUUGUCGCAUAUAUUGUGUGUAAAAAUAAGUCUUGAACAUAUGAAAUGAGUUACAGUUACCUUAUUUCCUAUACAGUUCACCGCUCAAGGCCAUAUAAGUCACUUUUGCAGUCGAAAGUAUUACUCCCUUUUGCUCAUUUGCAUAUUCAAAGUUCAGCUGGUAGGAUUGGUCAUUCCCACAGAGACCUGUUCUGACUGACGCCCCUGCCCCUGAUCUUGGCUGUGCAUAAGAAUAACAUCUAUCAGUAAGAAUCAAGUCAACUUUGUUUGUGUCUCAUCAAUGCAGAUGCCCCUGUCUCAAUGACCCUGUAUCUUUAGGGGUGCAGAUUCAAUGAUUUCCUCUUUCCUGCAGAAACCUGUCCUGGGCCUGUGAUAAAUUGGACAGAAAUUCAUGGGAGAUUACCAGACAGGCCUGCAAAGUGCCGUAGCAGCACCCAUAAUGGAUACGCUUCAUCUCUAAAUCCUAAAAGGCCCCGCUACAUCUGUCAAGCAUGCCCUGAGAAGCCUCCCCCAGUUCAGAUGUUAUCACCACUAUGCCUGCAUCAAAAGAUUUAGUGUCCACCCUGGAGGAUGGUUAUGUAGCACAGUUUGCAGGGCAACACAAGAAGUCAGCCAGACCUGGGGGAGAACGGAGAAGGAGGAGUAGAAAAAGACGGUGAGUUGAAAAGGAAAGAUAACCUGGAGAUAGUACACAAAAAGGGCUGCUGGAGGAAACAGGGAGGAAGGAUGAGAGAAAAAACGGUGGUGGCAUACAGUACAUACUCCCCCCCUUCGCCCUCAUCUGUCCAACUGCCUCCUUUUCUCCACCACCAACGGGUCCACUAGACCAGCGAGAGACAUAAAACAUCAGAAUAGAGGUAGUGCAAGAGUGGAAGAGAGAGAUAAGGAGAAGAAAAAAGGAGGAAUAGAGACAGAGAUAGCAGAGGUUGCCUCUCUGUGAGUCUGUAAGUGCCAGAUAGAGCAGGCGAUAGUGUGUGUGUGCGAGCAUGUGUGAGAUGGCAGUUCUCUUUUCCCCCUUUUCUUGGACUCCAGCUUGACUUUAAUCUGUAGCCUUACCAGAUCAUUACAGGGCUACUAGGCCUCUGGGAGCUUGGGGAAAAAACUGACACGAUCUGUCUUCUCCUCUCCCCAGCACUGCUUCAUCUGGGCUCUAUUAAAAAAUUUAAAGAGCCUCCAGCAGGUUCUUAGCCCUGAAAAUGGACAGUAUCCAAGGAUGAGCGGGAGAGGGAGCUGAGCCGAGGGGCUCAAGAGUCAGGCUGGGGCCUGAGUGAGCAUGAGCCCAGACAGCUUCACCCAGACCGGGGGAAGGCCCGACACAGCUCCCGCUCGGCCAGUCUGCUCCACGCAGCCGGCUGAAAGAUCAGAGAAACCAAGCCUUUAAAGCUCUUCGUCUGUAAAGAGAGACAGGGAGGAAAUGGCUGCUAUUAAAGAGUCUGCAAGGGCUACCCACAUAACCUACCAGCACUGCAAAGCACUUCAUUCAGUCUGAAACAAGCUCUCUCUUCAAAGAAAGAAAAGAAAAAAAUGUCCCAAAGAAACAGAACAAGAACUGUAAAUAUUCUUGUACUUUUAUCUUGUGCCUGUUUGUUUUUAGAUUUCAAGUUAAACACAAUUUUACAAAUGUUUUAUACUGUGGCACAGUAUGCCCAGCAUUCUUUGUGUCUGAGGUCAAAAAAGAGAUAAUUUGAUCAAAUCUGAUUACUCUCUAGUACUAUUUAUGUGUGUGAAAUUCAUUUUGGAUAACAUAGUUCAUUCUAGUUUCAGAUUUUGCUUUAAAUAAAAUGGCAUACACUAUUGUUAUAUUUGGUGGUAUUAAGUUGUUUGAUACUGUCUACACUUCCUUUGACACUUUUUAGCUUGACCACAAUUAAAAUAACACAGUGCUAAACUGUUAAAAAAUGAAUGAAACUUGUGUCAUAAAACUAUACCAAACAAUUCAUUACAAUGGGAUUUUCCCCUUUUUUGAGUCUACUUUCAUUUACUGAGCAGCAGAAAUUCCACUUAAAAAUGAUUUGAAUUCAUUUUGAAACUGUCUUCUACCAUGGCAGAUGAUUUAAGAGAAAAGGAAAAAUUACCAUACUGACCAAAUAAGAUUUAAGAAGAAAUGCUUCCAAAGAAAAGCAUUCCUCUGCAAAGAACAAUAAAAUAUAUAGUUAUUUUCCUAAGUCAUUCUUUGAGAGAAGAAUUUUCCAUGGCAAGCAUCACUGAUAUUGCGGUUGAUUUUUUCUCUCUUUUUUUGGGUCAAGUCCAAAGUGUUGCUGACCGCAAAGCCAUUUGUCAAUGGGAGACUUUGUUUGUUCACCUCCCUCAUGGAUUACUCCACUGAGUAUGGUCCUCACCUGGGCCUGCUUUAAUAGGCAGGGACAACACCUGAAGCUCCCGCUGAGGGGCUGUCUGUCAUGGCACAUGCCUGACUUCUGUAGUAUUUGCUGAUUUAUUUCAAGAACAGUGCUUGCACUUUGUUUUUCUUCUCUUGAGUCACAGGUUUAGCAGUAAGAAAGCAUUUCAUUACAGAAAUUACAGGAAUUUAAGUGUGUUCAGGAAAACAACCGAUAAGCAAAAGGUCAAUAAGAAAGGCAUUAAUAGAAUUUUUCUAAAUGUUACUAAAUAUGUCAUUUGUUACAAAACAAAUGAAAUAAGAGAAGAAAUCUGUGCAGUCUUCAAAAAGAAAGACGCAAAGUGCCCCUAAUGCCACCUGGUAUGGCAAUGUGUCAUUCCUUUCUCCUCUGUGCAUGCAGUGGCAGGUGAUAAAGCACUUUUACAAGCUGCAGUAAAGUGCCACUUGUAUGCUACCAGAUAGUGGAAGAUGUUGGAAUCUUUUAUGUACUAUUAUAAUAUUAUUUUUGGUUUUGCAUCCAUAUUUAUUGCAUCUCAGUGUCCUUCACCCAAGGCACUGCAGUUAUUGCAUGCAGGGAUUGCAUUGUAAAAACUUAAUGCAGGCAGACCAUUGGGACAGGAGGACGUCACACACUCUGCCACACAGGUUUGUGUGCUUACCGCAUAAUAUAAUUGGCCCUCUGUGAGAGACCCCGCUUUAAUAAACGAGGAAAGAAGUUUACAGUAGCACUGAUGGGCACUGGAGCUGACUUCAUUAGAACAGGCCAAAAAAAAAAAAAAAAAAAAAUCUGAAUGCUUUUAUCCUUUAAUACGGUUGCUCAAUAUUCUAUGAAAUGGUUAUACAAAAAUGUGUUUUAACUCCAAAAUCAUUUUGCUGGGAGUGAUAGUGGAGUAAUAAAGAAGUUAUUGACUAAAUUAUAUUGAUUGUCUAGUCCCCAAGUGCUGACCUUGGAAUCACUCCAUCCCUUCUUCCUCUAUGCCUCCCUGCACACUGCCCACUCAAUAAUAUAUUAUUUUAUACAUUUAGGGUGCUUUCACAUCUCUAGUUCGGUUCAUUUGGUCCGAACCAAGGGCAAACAAUUAUACAUUGUAGCAUUUUUC